AUUUAAAUAGUAUAUUAUUAUAUUUGACUUCCAAUCAAAAGAUCUAAUUUUAAUUAGUUUAAAUA
rnacentral:tRNA from 1 species